UUUAUUGGAGAGUUUGAUCCUGGCUCAGGAUGAACGCUGGCGGCGUGCCUAAUACAUGCAAGUCGAGCGAAUGGAUUGAGAGCUUGCUCUCAAGAAGUUAGCGGCGGACGGGUGAGUAACACGUGGGUAACCUGCCCAUAAGACUGGGAUAACUCCGGGAAACCGGGGCUAAUACCGGAUAACAUUUUGAACUGCAUGGUUCGAAAUUGAAAGGCGGCUU
rnacentral:rRNA from 2 species